rnacentral:rRNA from 1 species
GCAACUCGCCUACAUGAAGUUGGAAUCGCUAGUAAUCGCGAAUCAGAAUGUCGCGGUGAAUACGUUCCCGGGUCUUGUACACACCGCCCGUCACACCACGAGAGUUUACAACACCCGAAGUCAGUGGCCUAACCGCAAGGAGGGAGCUGCCUAAGGUGGGGUAGAUGAUUGGGGUGAAGUCGUAACAAGGUACC